UACAGAGGUGGCGAGCGUUGUUCGGAUUUACUGGGCGUAAAGGGUGUGUAGGCGGUCGCGUGUGUCGGAUGUGAAAUCCCACGGCCUAACCGUGGAAUUGCAUCCGAAACUGCGUGGCUAGAGUGCAGGAUGGGAGAGCGGAAUUCUUGGUGUAGCGGUGAAAUGCGUUGAUAUCAAGAGGAACACCGGUGGCGAAGGCGGCUCUCUGGAAUGCUACUGACGCUCAGACACGAAAGUUGGGGGAG
rnacentral:rRNA from 1 species